UUCACAACAGUAUACACACAAAGUAAAUGAAACAAAAAAUCCCAAACAACCAACCCUCCAACAAGUGAAACUGAUAUCAGAGGACAAAUUAAUUAGAACUUCUUAAAAGGUUAGUCCACACUUUUCCAUCAUACUUCGAGUGAUUAUUUGUGUUACAGUAAUAUGCAAAUACUUAAACUUCUUAGCCCUAAAAAUCUCAUGGCUUUUUUGUUUGUCUAUUUUUUGCUUUUUUAGUAAAAAGGUGUCAUUACUAUCUAGUAUCUAAAAAUGUCAGUGCAAAAGGUUACAUCAGCAUCGGAAUAUUUUUCACAGGACAAAUUAAAACUGAAAAUAAAUUUAACUGUGCAUCAUGUUUAAAAAUGGAUGUAGGCACUCAGGAAGAUGUGGGUAAUAUUAUUAAAGUAAGAAUUAUGACUCUUGCAAUUUAUUUAUUUUCUUGAUACUGGCCUGUAACAUAAGUUAACUUUCCCACUUUAAUGUAACAGAAAAAUAAACAGGUCAGCUGUAGGUGGGUAGGUAAGCUUGAGUCCCAGCUCCAUGAGAAAAUUCAUCUUCUCCAAUUCUACAUACGAAUAGUCCCAAUGCCUGUGACAGUGAUUUUAAGAACCAAAAUGAUGGUAUAGUCAGCUCCACAUAAAGACAGGGUAAAACCCACAAGAAAAGCAGCAAAAAGGGAAGAUGUAAUAAAUGUUAUUUAACUUUUCAAAAACAUUAUUAAACUUACAAAACAAAACAACCAAAGAAAACAAAACAAAUACAAACUAAAAAAAUACACACCAAAAUGGCUGGCAUAUUGCAUAUUUAUUUACCUUCUGGAACUUAAGGGAUUCCCAGUCUGAAGUUUUUUCUCACAGAAAUGAACUCCAGGCUAGAAAAAGAGACUUAUUUGUGAAGGAAAGGCAGGAUGCUAAUGGAAGCAACUAAUUCCAGUAGCCAGAUCCCUAAAGAAGGUGGUUAAAAGAAUAAGUCGCAAACUCUGGCAGUUCUGCAGGGGAAAGGCAGUGGAUAUGUGAUGCUUCUGGGUUAAAUUCUCUGAUUUUAAAGCUGCCAUAUCUCACUGAAACAGUAAAGUCACAAGAGGUUAAAGUCUCUUUUUGGAGAGAAUGAGUCACUGCUGAAAGUUUAGAAAACUAAAGCUGCCCAUUCCCAUUACUUUUCAGCAUUAAAAAAAGGAAUCACAACAGAAGAUUUAACUUCUGGUAUAACUUCUGAUUUUUUAGUGCCAGGAGCUGUGUAGGGAAAGACCUUUGUCAAUACACAGAAUGCAUCAAGGUCCUUGAAUGUGCUCCACUGAGAUCAGGUGAAGGUGGUAGGAGGCAAUGGCAAGGGCAAGCUGCAAAUUCUGCUCAAUGGCUUGGCCAGUGCUUCUCAGGGAAGCCCACUGUUUCCUGUGACCAAAACCAACUCAUGUAAUCCAUAGCAAUGCCACUUAAUGAAUAGUGUCCUCUGAAUGAGACAUCAAAGUAUUAAAAUGAUGGUAUUUUUUCUACACAAUAUUUACUGAUACAUAAACUACAGUAUUUUUCACAGCUGGCUCAUUCUGCAAACAAUUUAAAAGCACAUACUAGAAAAAAUAACAGCUACUGAGUAUCGCAAAAGCCAGCCCAAGUCACUCUACUCUUUGCUUGGAGGGAGGUGUUGGAGUAGCAUUCCUGCCCUGAACCAUCUGCAGGCAUUUCUAUUCAGGACUUUUUGAAGGGUACCAAAGAGGUUCUAGCCCCUAGAAAUGUGGGGCUUUGGGGGCUGUUUGAGGCAGAGUUGGUGUCUUUACAUUUAAUAGACCUCAUGGUGGUUUUUUGCUUCUGUGAAUGUGUACAGGUGCUUUUUUGGGAUCCCCAGAGAACUACUGGCACCUCAAAGGAAGAUGUCCUACUGUUUAAUUACCUGCUGCAUGAAGAUCCACCUCCUUCUGUUUGCUUUAAAUUGGACACCUGCUAGUUUCGCUUGAUGCUCUCUAGUUCUUAUAUUAGAAAAGAAAGCAAAUAAUCCACCCCUACUCCUCUCUACUCAUUAUUCUCUCUGGUCUGACUGUUUUCUGUUGUUUAUCACUUCUCCAUCCUGUAUAAUCUCAGUUACUCAAAUCCUUGUGUCCCUCUAACAUCAGGGUGGCUCCAUAUUUUUCUUUAUGUUUGUUGCUUUUCUCUGGAUCUUUGCUCUUCCUGUUACACAUGGGCCAGAGCAAUCCUCAGGAGGCAUUGCAGCCCUCCCCAUUCUGUUCUUAGUGUUUCAUCCUGCCAUCUUCCACCAGCUUUGGGACAGUUUCUGAGUGCUGAAACAAUUCUUCCAUGAGUUAUUGCAACUGUUAGACCUUAUUUCUGAGUGGGAGCAAGAUGGUUAGAAAUUUCUCAUUUUCAAUCAGUUUACUCCUCUGUAAUCCAACCUGGCCAUAGUAACCACCUCCAACCUGCUCAGAAGGCACUAAUACUCUACAGUUAUCCUAGUUAGACCUUCAGUCUGUGAAAAUUUGGCUUUAGUUAUUGGAGUUUGCUGAUUUUGCUGUUCUUUUGUCAUAGAGUUCAUAGCCCCUUUCCCUAUAGCCACGGCCUAGUCUGACCCUCCUACAUAAGCCGUGGUCUGUCACUACCAUGUCUUGCUGAAUAUUUCCUUUUUCUGCACAUCUAUUCAGUCAAAAUGCCAGUUUGAGCCAGGUGUCCCAUAUCCCUCAUUCUCCUUUCACUGUGGCUUCAUGGAAAUCAGUCUCUUCUGGAAGUAUCUGGAGUAUCAAUCAUGUGAGUAGGACUUUCCUUGCUUCUCUUGUGCAGCUGCUCUGGGAACCUGUGUCCCUCCACACAAAUGUGGACCUCUCCUUACUGCUGGGAAUGUUUCUAGAGAAGUUUAGAAGGAGAUACUUGAUUUUACUGUCCUGCCUGGCACCCUAUGUCUUGCUUCCUCUUCCUUGAUCUUUCCUACUUCACUGGACCACAGCCAUCUUCUAGACCUCAGUGAUUUUUUUGGAGGGGGUAGAUUGCUGACAUCCGUGGUCUCUGCCAACCUAAUUUGUUUUGUGAUUGUGUUCUCAGUGCAAGGAAAGCCUUUUCACGGCAGGAGGUCUUGUCACCCACAAGGCUGGACUCCCUAUCUCAUUGCUAGCUCGGUGUCCUCUGCACGUCCAGGGAUGCUGCCACAAAGGAUCCUCAGAGCCCACAGCACCUGGAGAACAGCUUCCCCUCCAUCUGCUGUACAGCUGGAGAGCUCCUUAACCACUCCCCCGUGCCACUCCUUGCACAACCCCCGGUGGCCCGGCACUUCUCCCACCGCUGCCGGCCGUGCAUCAUGUGUCUGCACAGGGACACAUUGGCUACCCCAAUACCUCGUAUGCAUGUGCAUACAGCACAUAUAUAGAUAGAUAUGUGUGCGAGGGAGAUGUACACACCUAUCUGUCCCCAUAUACAGCCCUUUGAAACGACUACAUUUCAUAUCUCCUCCAGCCUCCAAGUGCUCUUUUCCUUUCUCAUUUAUGGCUAGGGCUAGGAAUGGCACAUUGCAACCUCAGUGAAUUUUAUUUACUGUAGUUUGAAUCGGGAUUAUCAAAAUCCCGUAGAAAGCUUUGGUCUCUACAGUGACUCCAUAACUAAAGGCAGUUUGUAAAAUCUGUUGAAAUCCAAGAGCUCUCUCUUGAAGUAAGCCAGCCGCUCGAGCCUCGCUGGGUUCAAAGGAUCUGAUCUGUAAUUGUCCUCGUUGUGGAACUACGACAUUGUACUUUUCCAAAGGCAAUGACAGCUCUGGCAUGCGCGUGUGCCAGACCGAAACCAAGACUCCCACCUCAGCAGGGGGGCUAGAGACGCAAGGAGCGAUUCAGUCCGUGCUGGUGGAGCUGAGCGGCAGGGAUUCCUCCCUGGUCUCCGUGAAAACCUGCUUUGAGCGCUGUGUUUGUGCGUCCCAGAACAGUGCUCCCUCGCUCCUCGCUCCCCGGGGCUGGCUCCAGCUCUCGCUGCAGCCCUGCGGGCCCAGCGCGUGUUGCGGGAGGCGGGGGAUCAGCGGGAGCCGGUGCCGGGCGGGGGUCGGUGGCGGAGCCCCGGGCUGUGCUGUGCCCCUGCGCUGUGCUGUGCCGUGCCGUGCCCCGGCGCUCUGCCGUGCUGUGCCGAGCCGUGCUGUGUCGUGUCCCGGCGCUGUGCUGUGCCGUGCCCCGGCGCUGUGCUGUGCCGUGCCGUGCCGUGCCCCGGCGCUGUGCUGUGCCGUGCCGUGCCCCGGCGCGGCGGUGACGGGCUCAGCGCUUCCGCGCCCGCCGCCGCAGCCCUGCCCCCGCCGCCUGCGCGGCCGGCCCGGCCCGGCGGAGAGGCGGGGGGAUUUCCAAGCGCCGGCGGCCUCGCCGCUUCCUCUCCUUGUUUUGCUUUCGAUCUGGCCCUCUCUCCGCCCGGGCGGAGGCACUGAACUUUUAGUUUUGCUCCCGCGAUUAUUCAGCGCCUGUUUUCAUUUCCAUUUCGUGUCCCCUGGCAACGGCGGUAACCUUGAGGAAUUAUAUAAGGGCCGCGAAAACGGGCCGGCAAGCUGGGUAAACACUGGAGAGAGGCUGGCAAGAAACUUGGCAUACCUAGGGCUCACCUUAGUUUCUGACUUUAUCAAAGGUGACAAGAAUAGUGGAGCAGAGAAGUUAAGAAUGAUGCAGAGAACACAGAUGUGAAGAGCAAAAGAGAGAGAAAGGAGCUGAGCCCGGUGCAGAAGGGACAAGGAGAAGCAGCAGCCUAAAUCUCCUUCCCAGGUGGGUGA